rnacentral:rRNA from 2 species
AAAUUGAAGAGUUUGAUCAUGGCUCAGAUUGAACGCUGGCGGCAGGCCUAACACAUGCAAGUCGAACGGUAACAGGAAGCAGCUUGCUGCUUCGCUGACGAGUGGCGGACGGGUGAGUAAUGUCUGGGAAACUGCCUGAUGGAGGGGGAUAACUACUGGAAACGGUGGCUAAUACCGCAUAACGUCGCAAGACCAAAGAGGGGGACCUUCGGGCCUCUUGCCAUCAGAUGUGCCCAGAUGGGAUUAGCUUGUUGGUGAGGUAACGGCUCACCAAGGCGACGAUCCCUAGCUGGUCUGAGAGGAUGACCAGCCACACUGGAACUGAGACACGGUCCAGACUCCUACGGGAGGCAGCAGUGGGGAAUAUUGCACAAUGGGCGCAAGCCUGAUGCAGCCAUGCCGCGUGUAUGAAGAAGGCCUUCGGGUUGUAAAGUACUUUCAGCGGGGAGGAAGGUGUUGUGGUUAAUAACCACAGCAAUUGACGUUACCCGCAGAAGAAGCACCGGCUAACUCCGUGCCAGCAGCCGCGGUAAUACGGAGGGUGCAAGCGUUAAUCGGAAUUACUGGGCGUAAAGCGCACGCAGGCGGUCUGUCAAGUCGGAUGUGAAAUCCCCGGGCUCAACCUGGGAACUGCAUUCGAAACUGGCAGGCUUGAGUCUUGUAGAGGGGGGUAGAAUUCCAGGUGUAGCGGUGAAAUGCGUAGAGAUCUGGAGGAAUACCGGUGGCGAAGGCGGCCCCCUGGACAAAGACUGACGCUCAGGUGCGAAAGCGUGGGGAGCAAACAGGAUUAGAUACCCUGGUAGUCCACGCCGUAAACGAUGUCUACUUGGAGGUUGUGCCCUUGAGGCGUGGCUUCCGGAGCUAACGCGUUAAGUAGACCGCCUGGGGAGUACGGCCGCAAGGUUAAAACUCAAAUGAAUUGACGGGGGCCCGCACAAGCGGUGGAGCAUGUGGUUUAAUUCGAUGCAACGCGAAGAACCUUACCUGGUCUUGACAUCCACAGAACUUUCCAGAGAUGGAUUGGUGCCUUCGGGAACUGUGAGACAGGUGCUGCAUGGCUGUCGUCAGCUCGUGUUGUGAAAUGUUGGGUUAAGUCCCGCAACGAGCGCAACCCUUAUCCUUUGUUGCCAGCGGUUAGGCCGGGAACUCAAAGGAGACUGCCAGUGAUAAACUGGAGGAAGGUGGGGAUGACGUCAAGUCAUCAUGGCCCUUACGACCAGGGCUACACACGUGCUACAAUGGCGCAUACAAAGAGAAGCGACCUCGCGAGAGCAAGCGGACCUCAUAAAGUGCGUCGUAGUCCGGAUUGGAGUCUGCAACUCGACUCCAUGAAGUCGGAAUCGCUAGUAAUCGUGGAUCAGAAUGCCACGGUGAAUACGUUCCCGGGCCUUGUACACACCGCCCGUCACACCAUGGGAGUGGGUUGCAAAAGAAGUAGGUAGCUUAACCUUCGGGAGGGCGCUUACCACUUUGUGAUUCAUGACUGGGGUGAAGUCGUAACAAGGUAACCGUAGGGGAACCUGCGGUUGGA